CCUACGGGGGGCAGCAGUGAGGAAUAUUGGUCAAUGGACGAGAGUCUGAACCAGCCAAGUAGCGUGAAGGAUGACUGCCCUAUGGGUUGUAAACUUCUUUUAUAUGGGAAUAAAAUGUUCCACGUGUGGGAUUUUGUAUGUACCAUAUGAAUAAGGAUCGGCUAACUCCGUGCCAGCAGCCGCGGUAAUACGGAGGAUCCGAGCGUUAUCCGGAUUUAUUGGGUUUAAAGGGAGCGUAGGUGGAUUGUUAAGUCAGUUGUGAAAGUUUGCGGCUCAACCGUAAAAUUGCAGUUGAAACUGGCAGUCUUGAGUACAGUAGAGGUGGGCGGAAUUCGUGGUGUAGCGGUGAAAUGCUUAGAUAUCACGAAGAACUCCGAUUGCGAAGGCAGCUCACUGGACUGCAACUGACGCUGAGGAGCGAAAGCGUGGGUAGCAAACAGGAUUAGAUACCCGUGUAGUC
rnacentral:rRNA from 1 species